UCUCUUUCAAUAACAAUUUUUACUCCUUUUCUCAACCUUCAGUCAUCAAUUUGCCACCCUCACCGAAGCUGCUUCUCCCCUCUCUUUUCUUUUUCUCUCAUUUACAAACAAAACCCGAUAACCUCUUUGUCCCUUUGUCCCUGAUAAGCCAAACCAAACCAUUCGACUUCUUUUCGAUAUAUUACUAUCAAACGCAGACCCACAAACGUCUCUCACCAAUUCUCACUUCCUUCCUCUCCUCUCCUAAUAUUGCGACUGUGUCCUCUACGCCAAUGAAGAGAAAUUUGUUUAUAGCUAUUGAUGUGCAAUAUGAAGCAUGUCCCUAAAAAUCAGGCCGACUUCUCACAAAAAGCUUUCCUCUUUGCUUUUCGAAUUGUAGUUCACCAUUAGGCCCACUUCCUCCCAUUGUAUAGCUUCCUGCUACCGUCUUUUCGAAGUCACUGCCUUACAGUUUGACAUCAAGAACAUGUUUACUGUGAUCAGACCGGUCUUUCCCAAAAGCUUUACUGCACUUCUCACGGUCCCUAAAAGUCAAACUUUUGGGUAUUGGAUUUGGGUUGUGAGUUUUGUAUUAUAUUAGUUUUUACAGGUUGGUUGAAUUGUGGGUUAGUUUGCAAAGCCAGAAUUUGAUCCAUUACAAAGUGGACAAUUUGCCAUUCAAGAAGCUUUGCUACUGGAGCCUAUACUGGCAUGCUAGAGAUUGGUAAUGCAGCUGGAGCUGAAUUUGAAUAUGAGGGUGUAGAGAAAAGUUCUAAACACCUAAAAAUGGAUAUGGUAGGCAAGAUCACCAUCAGGCAAUUGCUGCUGAAAAACUGCCAGACUUGAAUUGCACAAGCAUGGAAUCAGCAAUGAGAGUUAUAGCACAGACAACAACAGCAAAACAGGAUUUUGGGUCCUUUUGUAAGUGUUUGCUUCCUUAUUUGCUUCUUCUAUUUGAUUUGUAAAAACGAGUUGGGAUUGUCAAAUGAGCUUCAUCAUCCCAUUUUUGUUAUAUCUGUAGCCUUGUAAUUUCCUAUGACUGAAUUAUUUUAAAACAAAGUUCUGAAUGUGUUUAUAUCUAUAAUUAUUUAUAGCUAUGAAUUUAUUUUCUCAUGCUCAACCUUUA